GACGAACGCUGGCGGCGUGCUUAACACAUGCAAGUCGAACGAUGAAGCUGGAGCUUGCUCUGGCGGAUUAGUGGCGAACGGGUGAGUAACACGUGAGAAAUCUGCCCUUGACUCUGGGAUAACUGCGGGAAACUGUAGCUAAUACCGGAUACUUUCCCUGGUGGGCAUCCACUGGGGAAGAAAGAAUUUCGGUCAAGGAUGAUCUCGCGGCCUAUCAGCUUGUUGGUGAGGUAAUGGCUCACCAAGGCGACGACGGGUAGCCGGCCUGAGAGGGUGACCGGCCACACUGGGACUGAGACACGGCCCAGACUCCUACGGGAGGCAGCAGUGGGGAAUAUUGCACAAUGGGCGCAAGCCUGAUGCAGCAACGCCGCGUGAGGGAUGAAGGCCUUCGGGUUGUAAACCUCUUUUAGCAGGGAAGAAGCGAAAGUGACGGUACCUGCAGAAAAAGCACCGGCUAACUACGUGCCAGCCGCCGCCGUAA
rnacentral:rRNA from 1 species